GACGAACGCUGGCGGCGUGCCUAAUACAUGCAAGUCGAACGCAGUGGGGACGGGUGCGUAACACGUGGGUAACCUCCCAUCAGAGGGGAUAACACUUGGAAACAGGUGCUAAACCGAUACUGAUGGAUGGACCCGGGGUGCAUUAGCUCGUUGGGGAGGGAACGGCUCACCAAGGCCACGAUGCAUAGCCGAGCUGAGAGGGUGAUCGGCCACACUGGGACUGAGACACGGCCCAGACUCCUACGGGAGGCAGCAGUGGGGAAGCUUGGGCAAUGGACGAAAGGCUGACCGAGCAACGCCGCGUGAGUGAAGAAGGUUUUCGGAUUGUAAAGCUCUGUUGUCAGAGAAGCGGUAUCUAACCAGAAAGCCACGGCUAACUACGUGCCAGCAGCCGCGGUAAUUC
rnacentral:rRNA from 1 species